rnacentral:lncRNA from 1 species
GUUCCAACUAUUUUUAGCGAAGUUUCUCUCACAAUGGUUCAUGGCUUCAGAAAAAUGGAGCAAAGAGCAAGUACUCAACCAGAGAGCGUGGAUAAACCAAAAGCUCCUUUUGUUUGGUAGGUUGGUGAUACCAAAUCACCUACCUAACCCAUUACCAUGGUUCAUUAAGAUAAUGCGUAAAUUUUUGUUUGGUGGGUUGGUGAUAUC